CUGUGGUGUAUACCUAUGGUUUGUAUCCGUCGUUUGUGUGUGCAUAUGGUUUGUAUCUAUAUGUUGUGUGUAUCAAUAUUGUGUGUGAAUCUAUAUGUGUGUAUCUGUGGUGUGUGCGUGUGUGACAGUUUGACCACUGUCCCUGUCUGUUUAACUGCCCGUCAAUAUCGCGCAUUGAUGGAUAGUGCAUGAACAGCAAACCUUCAAGCAUACAAUAUACAUACAAGCUCUUUAUUCAAGCCACAAACAAUCUCUCCCUCUCACCAUGGCUCCGUACUGCAGACUAAAAGAGUCGGGGUGGGGCUGAGGUGUUUAAAUAUGGUGUCAGGAAACACCUGCUGCCACUGAUUGGCCCAAAUUGGGCCAAACCAUUUUCCCUUGUGUCAAAGGGGGACACUGGACAUUGACAUUGGACAUUAAUGAGCGACAAGCCUCAAUGCACUAGUGAAAAUCACUGAUCUAAAAGUUGAAAUGAACUUUAACAUGCAUGCUGUAUAUAUGAUGAGUUUAUUCAUGGUUGACCUGCAAUAUGCCACAGUAUUAUAAUCCCCCUGUUGAUUGAGCCUGUCUAGUGGGAGGGGCCAUGGGGUAUAAAAGGGCUGAGCUGCUGUCCUUCUGACAGUCUGCUGGAUGCUGUUGCCAGAAGAGGUUGUCUGUGUUGAGCAGGGUGCUCAGCUCUCCACAAGAUGCUAAAUAUUUACUGAGGUCUAUCAUGGAUACUUAACUGCAGUUCUGUGAGUAUCCCAACUUAACCAUGAAGAUGAACUGCAAACUGUAAGUCAUUAAUAUCUCAUUACUCUUGGGCACAUUGAUGUAUUUUGGCUUCCUGGUGAGUUAACCUGUUACCUGAAGGUUGAUCUGAGUAGCAAGGAUGUUUUAUUGGUUCUUGGGUUACUUAGGGAUUUGAUUUAUGUUGGUUUUAAUGAUUUGUUAAAAUGGUUACAGGCUCCAAGUUAUUGUUGUAAGCUGGUGCAAUGGGUUGGGUUCUGACAUCUGCAGUCUUCUUUCAUUCUACUCUCCUGAGCUCUGCAUCUUCAUCACAUGAGUGUUGCUUUACUGAUGAGGGUGAGGUCUGAGUGAGCAGAGGUGCAUACUGGGAUACAGAGCUGUCUGAAGUCUACAGGUCUGUAGACACGCCCCCUCAGGGGAAACGGAGUGUUUGAGAAUCUGUCGUGACGUCAGUUACAUGGACUGGAAUGUUCUUAAAGAUGGAGACAGGGAUUCAGAAGGAGAAACACCAGGGGGAGAUGAGGGGGCUCCUCAUCUCAACGGCUAAAACACAACUUCAGUCUGACAGAGAACCAUGGAACACAUUCAACAGUCCCCUCCAGGCAUCGGGACUCCUCAGGAAGGUUUCAUUUCCAAGGUCUUAUUUGGGGCCAUCCCCAUAUGGAUCCUGCUCCUCAAGAGCCACCCCCCUCCACUGGGUGGUCUACUGAACAGAUGACCUCCUUCCUGUCCUCAGGCUGACUAAAGCUGCACCGUUUGCGUCUGUGAAGGCCCCUCAUUCAGGAAACCACUUGACUACAAAGACAUGACUUCAGAGACGUUGAAUCAACCUGGGACAUAUUUUGGAGACGCAAAGCAUAAUCCAUCACCAAUGUGGGAUGCCACUGAAGAAUGUUGUGCAUAAUUUUUCAUCUCUGGAGAAGUUGGUUGUUCUGUUAUGGGUGCCCUGGCAGGAGGCCUGGGGAGGGGGGGGAAUGGGGAAUGAUGGAAUGUUAUUUGGCAUGAGGUUUUUACCCUGCAUGAUUGUUUGGCCUUUUAUGGCUCAGUGGUGUGUGAGUGUGUUUGGGUUUGACAUGAGAUGUAAGAUUUUUGAGGGUUCUACUGUGUGUGUCUCCCACUCAAACCUGGCAUGGGGUUCUACGUGCCUGGCCUGGGUUCUAUGUGUGUGUCCGGCUUGCUUUGACCGUGAUAAUGUUCAUACGGGGGUCUGUGUGAUUGGCUUGGGAUAUUGGAAUGGUCAACUAAAUCAUACCUGAUGGACGGCCACACGUUUACUCAAGGGCCUCCAGUAGGCAUGAAGAGCCCUGAGCGACGCUCCAGAGCGAUAUCCAACACACUGGGCAGGAAGGAGAGUAUCCAACUAAAGUGUAAAAGGAUGCAAGCGGCGUGUUCAGAUCAGUGACUUCAAAUUAGGACUACACCAAUCAGGAUCAAUGGAGGAUGGACACCAAAAGGAAUUCCACAAGGAGAGUCUGACGUUGGAAAGGGACCUAAAUGGAUUUUCAAGAUGACCUUCAGACCUGUAAUGAGACGGCUCUUCCUACCUGGCCCGAUUGAUGGAGAGCCCUGUGGAAACCUUCACUGGGGCUUCAAGGUAUAAAGAGGAGACUGUUUCAAUGGUAUUCCAUGGUACUCUGAAGACCGUUGUUGUGUUCCACUGGCUGAGGGGAAGAACCCACAAAUCUUUCUCUUGACCGUUCUCCUCUGAGAAUCCUGGUGCCAUCUUGAAGGAUAUUCCAGCUCAUGUAACUGAUGUCACGACAGUUUCUUAAACACUUGGUUUCUCCUGAGGGGCGUGUCUAUAGAACGGAAGACUUCAGACAGCACUGUAUCCCAGCAUGUAUCUCUGCUCACUCAGACCACACCCCCAUGAGUAGGAUGCAACACUCUAGUGAUGGAGAUGUAGAGUUUUAUAAGUAACAAGGGAGCAGACUAAGGUGAUUAGAACACAAUGGAAUGUCCAGUCUGUAAAUCUUUAAACCAUGAAGAUGGUUGGAUAGUUCAGGAAUUGGGCUUCUUUUUAUUAUGGGCAGUCCUUUCACUCGGAUGCCCACGAUGAUGCCCAUGAUUUGCUGUUGGUGAUGAGGCGGUCAGGGUGACGUUGCAGGGCUAUGGUCGGCUCUCUGCUCAACGUUUAGAUUUGCUCUGUAUGGUUUAUACCCGGAAUAAUCUAGAUAAUUGUAAAAUGUAUACACGGUUUUGUAUUGAAUGAUUUUAGUUUUAAAGUUGUUGUGGGACGUACAUGGUAGUUUGGUUCUUCGUAUGGUUUUGAGUGAUAUAACUUGUACACACCGGGUGCAUAAUAAUGUAAAGGUACACUGAAUAGUAAUGACCAACAGCAACAAACAGAUCUCCUCAAGGUAAGUCUGUUGGCUGUGUUUUAAUGAAGACCAUCGCUGGACUUCAGGAUCUUCCUCCGUUCAGCUCAAGGUGAGGCGCUGGUUCUGUUUUUUCUUUGGUUGGUUCCGGCCGGAAUGUUCGGAUUCCAGUCGGACGGUUUGUGCUUCCCGCCGUGGAAGGUUCUGAGUGCGGUCACUUGAUUUAGUCCCAAUGGUUAGCAUAGAACGUUGUAGUCUUGACAACCAUAAGAAACCACCUGGCAGUUUGUUGGACUGGAGUCCCCUGAGGGAAUCUGGCGGAACGUUCUGGAUUGUAUUUGCGUAACCUCGAGCCGUUUCCUAUUCUAUUUCAGUCGGUUUCGAUUGGGAAUUGUUGCCCCUAUCUAAAACAACUUAAGUCUGAUAUUAAAUACAUACUCAUGCGUACGUCGUACAAUAUGUUGAUAAAUUCCGAUGGUUGCGCCGUACUUUUAACCACGAUGACGUGACGGGACUCUCACUGCGUACAAAACGGCGUUCUACUUGCGGGCCCAUUUUUGACAUCAGGGGAGGCUGAAAAUCAUUUCAAGGUGGAAGCUAAUUUGACAUUUCUUCAACGGAACCCAGCACCUGAAUAUGGCUGAGUAUAUUUGAUUUAAUAUCGAUACUGCUUAGAGUUCUUUGUUACUUCAACUUUUGUAUGUUCUUAAUAUCUGCUGUCAUUAAUUGCCACAGAAGUUAAACCCUACCCAAUGGAAUGACGUUAAACAACGACUUUGGUUCAGUUACCAACUUCAUAAUAUCAAAGCUAAAAUACACAUGUUACAAUAGAAGAUACUCUAGUCUAGAACUGUACAAGGUUAAAAAGGUAACAUGUAGUUUGUCCCAAGGUGUUUGCCUCCUCACCCAGAGCAAGACCUCCACCUCCGCACCCAGAGCCAGACCUCCACCUCCUCACCCAGAGCCAGACCUCCAACUCCUCACCAAGAGACAGACCUCCACCUCCAGUCAGAAGUCCUCCAGAACAGCUGAACUGAGAGGCUGGGGACCAGAGGCUUGUGGUGCCAGGGUGGACCGGAGACUGAGGCUGGAGACCAGGGGCCCACAGCACCGGACCAGAGGGUAACCAUCACCAAGCUCAUCUGAAACACUAAAAUCCACGGUAGUUUAGGUCUAGUUUUGAUCAUCUUAUGACUUUAAAUCUGUGCCAAGCUGUGAUUUUAGUUAAUUUAUACGGGGGUUAUGUAGUAGUCAUAUGAGCCAUUAAUGUUACUAGUGCUCCUACGACCGUAGUGGAUGAAUUGCUGAAUGCGACAAUCUGCAGACAUUGUCUAAUUUAAGUGUUUAAAUUUGUAUUCCAUUUUACAAGUGAACCUCAGAUGCAGGAGGUGGGGUGUGUUGCGUCACCAGGUGAUUUACUGCUGAGAUGAACUGGGUUUGUAACCAGACCAGGAAUCCAUGUCUGGAGGAGCCGUGCUGAUGGAGGACCCGUGCUGAAGGAGCUGUUGGAGGAGUCGUGCUGAAGGCCCUGCCUGGUGAAGGACCUGCCUGGUGAAGGACGUCUGUCAUGGGGUAGAUGGAGCUUGACUCGGAAGUGAUCAUCACUGCUACCACAAACUACCGGCGUUUGUACCAUAUAUACCAGACGACUACAUCUGUUUUACCACAUGUUGAAGCAAGACUUCCGCUGUUUUUCCAGACUAGCUGUAAGUCCACACAAGAAGCGAAUUGAGCGACCAAAUCGCCGGAAGUCAUUCACUUUCUAUGGGCAAAAGCGACCAAAGCGACCAACGCUACCAGCGGCCAAAGUUGAGCGACCAGAGUGUCAAAAAGAAGUUGAAAACUUUUUAACUUUAUGCAAAUGACUAUUAUUCGCUUCAGCGGCCAAACACUGACAGCCAAUCGGAAUGUAGACGCUCUUCGCUUGCGUGGAUCCCAGGGAACAUCGGCAGGCACUUUGGUUCCUACCUACCUUUAUUCACUCACUGAACAAAAUGUCGGCUGAAGUAUUAAUCGCGGCUGUAACUGGGCACCCGGUGUUGUACGAACCCACCCUUUUUCAGUUCAGAGAUCGAAACGCCAUGGGGGUUUGGAUAUCAAGUGAUGAUAAGCGGGAGUAUUUAUAGGCUACAUCUAGAACGUUCGUAUUUAAGCGGGAAUCAUUUUAAUUUGCUCUAAAUGCCACCAAUCUAACCAACCAAUCGCGUGUAGCAUGCUUUAAACAAAACCAAAAAAAAAUUGAAAUCGUCACAUAAACAAACUAAUCGACAAGACGAGGGAUAAAUGACAAGGGAUAUAUCUCUUGUCUUUUAUCCCUCUAUUCCCCACUAUUCACGGAGCCUGAGGUGAAUAAUUGUUAAUUAAAUAGUCUAGAUAGAUAGAUAGCCUAGUCAAGUCUUUAUUAAUACCAAACGACACAAAUCGUCGGGAAUCCAUUUAGGUGGUUCGGCCCACACAGGACAGUAGCCUACAAGACCACACAGAACAAGUCUGACUGGACAUACACACAAUACAUCACAUUAAAACUAGACACGCGUUGAUAGAUAGAUAGACAGAAAGGCCUAGAUAUAUAGAUAUAUUCCAUUAUUUGCCUUGCGGAGCCAACCAGUCCUGUGCACGUAUGCAAAUUAGCCAUGUGCGACAAUGACUAUUUGUUUUGAAUGCAACGAAUGAGUGCAGAUCAUGAUUUGCAGAUCCAGAUCAGUGAAACAUAUUUCAACUACUACAGCACGCAGGGUUUUUUGUUCUCGGUUGUAAUUAGCCUACAUUUUAGGAUUUUUUUUUAUAUUGGGGGGAAUCCCUGUCCUACUUGUUGUCGAAGCACUUUAUCGAACAAGCAAAACCGUCUCGGCAAUAUGGCCAAGGUGUAUGGGAGAGUUCACUAUUUGAUAUGGCUGUCUGUAGGGCCUACUAAACGCAUACGGCUCCUUUUAAAUGCUUCUGCAUAAUUGAAUUGUACGUCAUGAGCGACCAAAGCGAACAGAAAAAUUCGUAGGGAAACUUUGUGAGCGACCAAAGCGUCUUCGCUCCUGGUGUGGACGUACAGUAGGACUCUGUCUGAGGAGAGCUGCUGGAGGAGCUGAGACGCUGGAGGAUGACUAGGAAUCGACCAACAAGGAUUCCUCAACGUGUUCCUGGAGAGGAGGCGAGCUGGUAGGGGAGCCGUGAAUCUGGAGGAUGAACAUCACUCUACAAACAAGGAUUACCACGACUCUGGCUGUGGAGAGCUGAUGGAGGAGCCAAGACUCUGGAGGACGACAUCGCUCCACCAACCAGGAUCCUCACCAGGAAUCUGGAGGAUGGAGAUGGAGAAGCCGUACAUCUGGAAGGAAAAUCCUGAGGAUCACCAGCACUCUACCAUCAAGGAUUCCUCAUAAGUUUGCAUUAUCUGGACAUGGUGGACUAGACGCACCUGAGCUGAACCUCACCUGAUCCUGUUUGGUCGGGGGUAGACACACCUGAACUAAACCCGCCCUGAUCCUGACAUCCUGCUGGUCCCGUCUCCUCAGUUCAUCUGAGCCUUGUCCUCCAGAAGACCUGCUGAGCUCAGCAGUCUGAGGCUGAUGGAUCACUGACCUCCAGUGGGAGUGAUCUUCUUGACCUCACUACUUCACUACUCUCUACUGCUUCCUCUUUUCUUCCUUCUCUCUGGUUCAAAUCUUUACACUGAAGGCGCGUCUUCCUGCCCUCAGAGAGUUUAGCGUUAGGGUUGAGAGUCAGGGUUUAGAGUCAGGGACAGAGCUGGUCAGGGAGGACUGCUUUUACACAAACCUCUUCACUUGCUUUCGGAAUGGUGGUGACAUUUCGAAAAGAUUAACUUGGAAAAUGUUUUCCUCUGCUUUCCUUUAUAAUAUUGUAUUACAUUUCUGUCAAGUGUUUUUGUUUUCAUAUAUUAAAAUCCCACAUUGACUUCUA